GUCUACCGCCAUAUCACCCUACGCACACCUGAUCUCAUCCCAUCUUGGAAGCUAAGAGGGGAUGGGUUAGGUCUCGUCCUGAUUAGUACCUGGAAGGGAAACACAGUCCACU
rnacentral:rRNA from 1 species